UCUCUAACUCCACAAAUUUCAACAUGCAUACAAAUCAAGAAGGGGUGGGGGUGUUACAUGCAAAUUCUGCUUCAGUGGGUGUUGGAGCCUGAGAUUCUGGCUUUCUAACAAGCUCCCAGUAGAGAUGGGGUUUCACCAUGUUGCCCAGGCUGGUCUCAAACUCCUGAGCUCAGGCCAUCUGCCCGCCUCGGCCUCCCAAAGUGCUAGGAUUACAGAAGGUGCCUGCUUCCCCUUCACCUUCCACCAUGAUUGUAAGUUUCCUGAGGCCUCCCCAGACAUGUGGAACUAACAGGUUUCUCUUAUUGCCUGGAUCCAAGAGCAUCUCCUGGGUUCUUCCUGUUAGAAUACUGAAUGUCCAUGGAGAGUUUAACAUAAGGAAGAAGAGGCCUGUCUCCCAGCUGAAACUGGUGCAGCAGAUCAUGCAAAGUAAAACCUCAGCAGCUGUGAUGAAGUAGAGCAGAGGGCCUGGGUGUCUGUCAGCUCCAAGCGGAAGAUUUCCCCAGCUUUCUAGGUAACUGUGCUUCCACUGAGCAAGCCAGACACAGACUUGAAUGUCAUCACAAUCUGUGCCUGUGACAUCUUUCCCCAAGAAUAGCACAAAUUGAACUUUUACAUUCUUCAUAAUAUGGAAGGAAAGGUAUUGACUGAGCCACUUCUUUAUGCCUCAAGACAUCUCAUAUGUAUUUAUAUGGAUACAUACAUGAAUGUAUAUAUUCUGUCAUAAUAACAUAUUCUAUUUUUCUUAUUAUAGCACAGUGUUAGGAUAGGCUACAUAGGCUGCAUUAAACCCUCAAAUAGAAGUUUAUAUU
ensembl:lncRNA novel transcript